rnacentral:lncRNA from 10 species
GACUGAGGGCGAAACAGCAGGCAGGACUGGGUGGAGACGUUCGGGGACGUGGCAACUGGAGUUUCUUCUCCGUAUAUUUCGGCAUUCAGUUCCUUUUUUUUUUUGUUUUAACUCAGGAAAAAAUCUCAAUUGCGUUUAGUAUUUUGAAAGCCACUUUAUUGCUUCCCGAGCCUCAGUCAUGUGUGGUGGGAGGCUGCUGUGGGUGGCACCUGGGGCGUCCACGGCCGCCAAGGCGGGAGGACGUCAGGCCCUGCUUGCUCCCACCCCUUCCAGGUGAGAGCUCCCGGGCACGCCCGUCGUUGGCUCUUCGUCCUCUUGGUGUUCUUCCCUGUUGCUUCAAAUCAGGUUCCUGUCUCAAAAAUCCGAAAAAGAAAUCCUCCCAAAUGACUCUGUGCCCGACGCUCCGUUAAGGCAUCGUGCUAGGCGUUCUCAAACUCGUGAAAUGACUACACUGCACAGGUUAACCUCAUUGCUACUCUUCCCCUUGCCUCCUAAUUCUCUGGUUAAACUUCCGCCCCCGAGGUUUCUAGAAAUCCCUGAGCUGGAAUGCGCUGCCUUCAUUAAGAGGGUGUUCUGCUUCCGUCUGCUCACAUUCAUCUAGUAAGCCCUCUCGUUAAAGAGGAGGCAGCACACCGAGGCCUGUCUAGAACUUCUUUCAUUUAACCAACAGUGAAUAUCUAAUCUACAAGAAACUGGAGCCGUGGCAGUUUAGGAGCCUGCCAAGGUUGCAUCCCUGGGAGCUUAUUUUCUAUUGUGGGAGACAGGAAAAGAACAAGUGAAUCAACUGUGAAAUUAAAUAAUUCAAACUUAAAGCUGUUGGAACUUUAAAUUAUUCUGAGCCUUGCGAAGAAUGUGGCGAUGGGGCCUGAGUCCCAUGGCAUACAGCUGCAAUGUCUGCCUUGUUUUUUCCUAUAAUCAGGAAGACCAAACAGAGACAGAGGCCAGCUGCCAGAAGCUUCUCACUCCGUGGAGACCUUGGAGUCGAGGAUGAAAUGUCUUACAACUGUGGGGAGACCUUGGCUUUUCCAAAGCCUACCAGGGUCCAGGUGAGAGCAGUGGUAACCCACAAGACUUGGAAGCUAAGGCCCAGAGAGGAGGAGAAACUUGAUCAAAGUCAAUCAGACAAUGCAGAAUCGAGAAAAGUACCUGGACCUCUAUGCCCAUGCUUCUAGCAGCCAGCCUCCUAAAAUACCUCUAGUUGAAGCCAAAGUUAGAAUCCUUCUACGAAACUACAGGAUUAAAAUGGUGAUUUUCUGAAGCAAUCUUGUUUUUCCCCCAUUGUUCUUACCUUUCUUCACCUAGGAGACCUAAAAGGCAGGGUUUUCUUCCCAGAACAUGUCUAAUAGUGCAUACCUGAGAUGACCCAGCUAUAAGCCUUUCUUGGUUUAACUGUAGGAGCCCAGGGGUAAAUGGAAUGGAACCAAGGAAGGCAGAGAGAUUGGGGUUGUCAACAUCAUAUCCUGCUUAGAGACUUCUGUAAAAGUUGUCUGAUCUUAUUUUACUUUCCCAACUGAACACUCUAAAGUGUGUCAAGACUUCUAGAUGUUUCUACCCAUUGCCUCCAAAAAUUUAGAUAUGUUUAAAUUCUAUGCCUUUUAAAAAAAUCAAGAAAUUCCUAAAUACUCCCUAAUUGAGAAAUAAUAAAAUUUAAAAGUUCGUAAUAGAGAGCAGUUUGGGGACCUACAGAAGUAGCAAGAGUGCAGGCAGCUCUGCAAUGGGUUCUCUUGCCUUUGUUUCUAAGUAUCAAACUCAGAAACCAACUAAGGGUUGAGGAUGUUGCAGUAGAUGCAUGUUGUCUGUGCCUUCUUAGUAUCCAUUCCCUGACAUUUCUGGUUAACAGUAUCCUGGUUUUUCUUUGGAAAAUCUGCCCUUCCUUAUUUUCAGUCCAAAUGAUUUGAAUGGGGCUGACUCUGACCCUUAACUCCCUUUCCAGGAAUGGUUACAUGACCCAGGCUUGACCAAUCAGAUCAUCCAAACCCUUUGCCACAGUGAUUGGUCCAGGGAUACAUGCAUGAGCCAGCUCAGGUAAAUGAGACUCAAUUAUAAGAAUUUUGUUAGCGCAAUUGGGAAAAAGAAGUUUUCUUUCCAUGAGAACUAUCAGCUAUAAGAAUGUUGGAUGCUUCCAUCUGCUGGAGUCCAUGAAGAAGGUCCAUGAAAAUGAAGCCAGCACAACAACACAGAGCUAAGACAUACAAAGAGAUGGAGAUUAAAUUGAAUGGAACUUUUAAGCCCCUACAUGCCCUUGAAGCCAGAUAUCCCUGAACUUUUAAUUUAUAUUAGUUGAUAAAGUCCUUCUUUAGCUUAAGCCAAUUUGAAUUAGAGUAUUUUUCACUUGGGGUCCAAAAGAGCUCUCAAUACAAAAGUCUGACUGAGUGCAUGAUGUGCUGGUUUCAACCUCAAGGGAACAGGGAAAGGGAAAGAAAGAGGCAGAGGUUGUGAACAGGACAGUAGAAGGUGGUCAGGAGACAAAUAUCUGGACUCAACUUUGUCCCUACUGUGUGGCCUUGAAUAGUGAGUUAACCACUCCGAGCCUCAGUUUCCCCAUCUGGAAAAAAAAGUUAGUGGACAGUCACUAGUUCUCAGACAGAACUCUGUAGCAGCGAGAGGGUAAUGGGGAUUGAGAGUCCCAGACUUGCAUUCUGAGGGACUAGCUCUCCUCUUAUCUAUAUCAUAUACCAGGUUUUCUUGUAAGGUUUUGUUAGAAUGGGUCUCACUGUUAAAAUGGAUUAGCUGAUCAUUUCAGUUCUAUUUAUAUUAAAGUCUAAAUUGAAUCAAGGCUCAGCUGGGGCCCAGUAAGAAUGUAGUGCCUGGUUAAUAAUAUUUUCUACUCUAUGAUAGGAGUUGGCCAGAAGCCAAGGUCAAAAACUCAAUCCCUGGAGGGUUUAUUUGCUUUCUGCAGACAUAAAAAAUUGUUAAUAACAAUGAUCUGCAUCCCCAAUCUUGAGAGCUGUCUUAGAGAUGUGGGUCAUUGAUCACAGAAGGGGCUGGGAAAAGGAAUGUGGAUGAUUCCAAAUAGUCAUUAGCUCUGCCUUAAAUGCCAAUACAAACACUACUGCCAAUGCUCAAGGCAAGCAACCUCUUCAUAGCUAGAACACAGAGGGUGGUGUGCUUGAAGGCUUUUGUUUCUCCUCAAGACAGUGUAGAAAAAGCUGAGAAAACAAAGAGCACUUGUUUCACAAUUAACUGCACAACACCUGAUGUAUAUCCACAGUCCUCUAAAUUAAUAUGGAUUCGCUUUUCUUUAUAAAGACAACAUACACAUUGUAGUGGAAAUCGGAUGGGAGGAUAAUUUUUAUGAAAGCAUAUAACAGUAUUUUUAUAAAAUAUAAAUUAUCAUUACAGUAAAAUAUAUUAACUUCAAGGCAAGUUUUGACACUGUAUGCAAGUUUAAAGUAUUUCAAAUUUUUAAAAAGUGUAUCUUAACAAAUAAAUUUUAGCACCAAUUGCCAGAAUUGUUGUCCACCACUAUAGUCAAAACAAUUUUCUUUUCUUUAUUUCAACUAAAAAUUGUGAAUGGGACUAAAGUCUUUAUGCAAAUAUAUACUCCAAUAAUAAUAUUAAUCUUGCCAACAGUAGCUGAAUAUUUAAUUAACUUUAACAAACAUGUUGAAAGAUAAUAAACUAAAAAAACUAUUUUUCCUUAUAGUCUCUGUAUAACUAGGUGCUUUCUCAUUAGAAAGCUUAUUUUUUCAAAAGUAUAUAUAACAUAGGUAAUUUAUAUUAAUAAAAAAUAAAAAGUUGCAAAUUUCUUGAGGUGUAAUUUCUCAUGUUGAUUAACUUCUGAUCUCUAUCAUUUUGCUUACAUGUACCAUAGAUACACAAAAACCAGAUGGGGGGCAGGGUAAUCAAUCUUAGGAGAGGGCAAUAGUUAAGUCAGACUAGGCAGAGUCAAGACAAGAGGCAGGCAGAGGGUUAGUUGAGGGCAAGUUAUGAAUGCCUCAGAACACAUCUCAGGAUUUGGAAACAAGCAGUAGUCUGGUCAAAUCCAAACUGGGAAACACAGAUGGCG